rnacentral:tRNA from 2 species
UGGGGUGUCGUCUAAUGGUAGGACAGCAGUCUCUGGAACUGCCUAUUGGGGUUCGACUCCCUGCACCCCAGCCG